AUUUUAUGAUGAACACCUAUUCAGUUCUGCUUCCGAAAGUGAGCGCAAGUUCCUUGUGGAUAGCUUAUUACCAAAACUCUCAAUUCUGAUUU
rnacentral:snoRNA from 1 species